rnacentral:rRNA from 1 species
UACGAAGGGUGCAAGCGUUACUCGGAAUUACUGGGCGUAAAGCGUGCGUAGGUGGUUUGUUAAGUCUGUUGUGAAAGCCCCGGGCUCAACCUGGGAAUGGCAAUGGAUACUGGCAAGCUAGAGUGCGGUAGAGGGUAGUGGAAUUCCCGGUGUAGCGGUGAAAUGCGUAGAGAUCGGGAGGAACACCAGUGGCGAAGGCGGCUCACUGGGGGUCUUCUGACGCUGAGGAACGAAAGCCAGGGGAGCGAACGGG